UCCUCCUCCCCCGUUCCCCGGACCGAUGGCAGUCUGUGGGAGGAGCGGGAAUGGAGCCGGGCCAGGUCUCCACACAGUGCAGGUGGUUUCCAGCUGUGACCUCCUGUCCAAUGGAGCAUCCCUGGAUCCCACUGGUACGGCUCCGACGGGUGGGAUUUCAUCUUCUUCCAGCUGGGAUCCGGGAGCUUUGCAGUGUCCGUUGGUGCCACCUGGAUCACCCAGAGGUGCUGGGAAUCCAAAGGGAUCACGGUGGAGCAGAUGAAGCAUUACCUGGGACACAGCAGUGUGGAAGAUCUCCCAAAAUACAUCAGAUACGGUUGGGAGGCUGUGGAGCACAAAGGUAGCACAAGAAAAAGCUGUCCUCAAGUGCUUCAUCUCCACUGCACCCACAUGUCCUGCCUGCUCCUGCCAGCUCUUGCUCUCCAGUUGCUCCUCAGAGGCCACGAGGGGCUGGCAAAGCCCCUGAGCAGGCACCAUGGACAGGUUUGAAAUGGUAAGUUCAAUUGAUCUUCAACUAGUCAGUUUGGUAGUAGAAUUAACCUUUCCUCAAAAUAUAGCCUCUGCUUGCCCAUUUUGAAAACACUCACAUAGUGUGAAUUUGCCUUAUCUUGUAUGUGUUAUGUUUACCUGAAAAACCUUUUGAAGAGAAAAACACAUUUACUGUUUAUUAUGUCUUUCACGUUUCCUAAGGACAUCUGGCUGGUUUUGGUAUGUUCUGUUACUGCAGGCAUCAGGCCCAGUGCUUGCAGUCUAAUUGAAGAUGUGUUUCAUGGAAAAGAAUAGAAGAAUCUACCACAGAGAGCGAAGGGUAAUGGUGGAAAAUAAUUCUCUUUGGCCUAUUACUUGUGGUCCUUGUAAACCCACUUUGCAAGGGCUGGGUUUGCAAGCUGCAGGUUGAAGUACAGUGAGUUUGUCUGGAUAAUGCUGUAGCCCCAUCUCAGCAGAUGCAGAAAGGGGCCAGAAUCUGGCAUUUGGAGUGUGAAUUUGGGGUGCUGGCCUUGCCCCAAAGGAGAGGCAGGAUGUUCCCUGCAGGGUCUGCAUGGAGCAGACAGAAGAGAUGGGCAAGUGUUUGCAGGGCCCCUGGGAGGGGAUCUUGGGGUUCCUGUCAGCAGGAUCCUUGUGCAGCUCAGGCUGGGCUGGGCAGCAGCUCCAUCUGCAGCUUCCAUGUGCUGCUGCAGCAGCUGCUGCUGGGGACCCUGAGGGAAGAGGCCCCGGCAGGGAUGGAAAUGCUGCAGGGACAGCUCCAGCCAGGGCCAGCAAUGAGCUUUGCCUUCCUGCCUGGGGAAAUGAGGCUCCUCUAGUGCAAGAGGAGGCAAAGACAAAAUCAAGUUCAGCACUUCAAGGAACACUGUAGAAAACUGGAAGCCUCUCCAAAUGUCACACACAUGCAUCUGUUAGCUCUUCAGUGUCGGUUCUUGUAAGAAGACUUUCCAGUUUUGCCUUGGAUCUGAGAUUGCAGGGCCCACAGCUGGGCUUCAGAGUUCAAGUGAUUUUUAUUUUCCAGGUUUUUACACAGAGCUCUGAAUUGGGCAUCUCUUGCUGUUUUUUCGGCUCAGAACCAUGAGAAAGGUUCUGUGCUCCUGUGAGCCACAUCUUGAAGGGUGGUUGGCAACCCUGGAAUCCUCUGAGAAAGCACUUGAUUGACUUCAGGGCCAGGCUGGAAAGCUCAGCCUGAGGAAAGAACUGUUCCAGAUGCCUCUGUCCAUGUCCAGCUCCUCCCAGCUGAGUCCCUGAACACACAGGGUGCUUUAUAGGCAUUUCUUUUCCCUUCCUGUUCACUUGGAGAUGCUUUUGCCAUCCUUUAGAGAAACAUCUGACCAGGCCCUGCCCCCAUUCCAUUUUAUUCCCUCCACUUUGGAGUUGGCCUGCUGGGUUGGACAUGGAAAUUGGUGAUGUUGCCCUGUUCUUUCCUCCAGCUGUCAAUUUUAGCUUGUAUGAAACACUGCAAAUGGCUUUGUUUCUCUGGUGGGGAAGAUGUGAGGUGGAGAUAACAGGAUUUGUUUUCAUGAACCUUGUGAUAAUAAAGAAAAAUGUGGUGUGGAAAAAUUUUGGUGUGGUGCUGGGAUUUGAGGGUUUAUUUUUUUGUUAUUAUUAUUUUUUGUAUUUAUUAGUAUUACUUCUAAUUGUUAAGACUAUUAAAUCCUAGACAUUAUUACCAAUGGCUGGAUGUCACUCACUGGGAACAUUACCUCCUCCUCCCACUGGGAUUAAUCUGUACAGUCUGUUUCAAGUUGUCAGUGGAUUCUAAAGAUGGAAGUUCCCAUUAAUGGUGGAUUUGGUGUGGUUUAGAGCUGAGGAAGGGUCUCCUCCUCUCCUAGAGGUGCCUCCAGCCUGCUUUGCCACCACAUCUGUUUGUGGCCCCUCACGGCUGCCCUACCCUGGGGACAUGGUGGGACACCCGUCCUGUCAGGGCUGAGGCUCCUCAUGGCCCAGCACAACCCCACAUUGCCCCUC